rnacentral:lncRNA from 1 species
UCAAUUCGAACAAAAUUCUCCAUUUUAAACUAUUCUUAACUAAUCUUCACUCGACCCAUAUCUCCGGCCUGGAACUAGCUCGGAUUCACAAUCUUUGAAAGUCGUUUGCUGUUCUCAACCAUCGACGAUGACCCUAGAAAGGGGUGACUGACAUUGUUUCCUCGAAUGUCGGGGUCUUUCUCUAUCGUUUUCUGAGUAGCUGAUUUUCGACGAACUUUUGAAAACUUGUAAUUAUUGCCUUCAUGAAAGGGUAAGCGAAAAGAGAGGAAAGGAGCGUCGCUCUUACCAUAAGAUAAUCCCAAACGGCAACAAGCCCACCUCUAACGCCAAACACACAGCAGAAAUUUCGGAUCUGAGAUCGGUACCGCCUC